rnacentral:rRNA from 1 species
GAAUAUUGGACAAUGGGCGAAAGCCUGAUCCAGCAAUGCCGCGUGAGUGAUGAAGGCCUUAGGGUUGUAAAGCUCUUUUACCCGGGAUGAUAAUGACAGUACCGGGAGAAUAAGCCCCUGCUCACUCCGUUCCAGCAGCCGCGGUAAUACGGAGGGGGCUAGCGUUGUUCGGAAUUACUGGGCGUAAAGCGCGCGUAGGCGGCUUUGGAAGUUAGAGGUGAAAGCCCGGGGCUCAACCCCGGAAUUGCCUUUAAGACUGCAUCGGUAGAACGUUGGAGAGGUAAGUGGAAUUCCGAGUGUAGAGGUGAAAUUCGUAGAUAUUCGGAAGAACACCAGUGGCGAAGGCGACUUACUGGACAACUGUUGACGCUGAGGUGCGAAAGCGUGGGGAGCAAACAGG